AACGCGGCGGCGAGCUCACCAUGCAAGUCGAGCGCGCCUUCGGGUGAGCGGCGGACGGGUUAGUAACGCGUGGGAACGUGCCCUUCUCUACGGAAUAGCCUCUGGAAACGGAGAGUAAUACCGUAUACGCCCUUUGGGGGAAAGAUUUAUCGGAGAAGGAUCGGCCCGCGUUAGAUUAGGUAGUUGGUGGGGUAACGGCCUACCAAGCCUACGAUCUAUAGCUGGUUUUAGAGGAUGAUCAGCAACACUGGGACUGAGACACGGCCCAGACUCCUACGGGAGGCAGCAGUGGGGAAUCUUAGACAAUGGGGGCAACCCUGAUCUAGCCAUGCCGCGUGAGUGAUGAAGGCCUUAGGGUCGUAAAGCUCUUUCGCCUGUGAUGAUAAUGACAGUAGCAGGUAAAGAAACCCCGGCUAACUCCGUGCCAGCAGCCGCGGUAAUACGGAGGGGGUUAGCGUUGUUCGGAAUUACUGGGCGUAAAGCGCGCGUAGGCGGAUUAGAAAGUUGGGGGUGAAAUCCCGGGGCUCAACCCCGGAACUGCCUCCAAAACUGCUAGUCUAGAGUUCGAGAGAGGUGAGUGGAAUUCCGA
rnacentral:rRNA from 1 species